rnacentral:rRNA from 1 species
AGAGGGUGCGAGCGUUGUCCGGAAUCACUGGGCGUAAAGGGCGCGUAGGUGGUGGCUUAAGCGUGCGGUGAAAGCUCGGAGCUCAACUCCGAGUCGGCCGUGCGAACUGGGCUCACUGGAGCAUAGUAGAGGCAGGUGGAAUUCCGGGUGUAGCGGUGGAAUGCGUAGAGAUCCGGAAGAACACCGGUGGCGAAGGCGGCCUGCUGGGCUAUGGCUGACACUGAGGCGCGACAGCGUGGGGAGCAAACAGGAUUAGAUACCCUGGUAGUCCACGCCGUAAACGAUGGGCACUAGGUGCUUGGGGGAGCGACCCCCUGGGUGCCGGCGCUAACGCAUGAAGUGCCCCGCCUGGGGAGUACGGCCGCAAGGCUG